AGAGUUUGAUCAUGGCUCAGAUUGAACGCUGGCGGCAGGCCUAACACAUGCAAGUCGAACGGUAACAGGAAGCAGCUUGCUGCUUCGCUGACGAGUGGCGGACGGGUGAGUAAUGUCUGGGAAACUGCCUGAUGGAGGGGAUAACUACUGGAAACGGUAGCUAAUACCGCAUAAUGUCGCAAGACCAAAGAGGGGGACCUUCGGGCCUCUUGCCAUCGGAUGUGCCCAGAUGGGAUUAGCUUGUUGGUGGGGUAACGGCUCACCAAGGCGACGAUCCCUAGCUGGUCUGAGAGGAUGACCAGCCACACUGGAACUGAGACACGGUCCAGACUCCUACGGGAGGCAGCAGUGGGGAAUAUUGCACAAUGGGCGCAAGCCUGAUGCAGCCAUGCCGCGUGUAUGAAGAAGGCCUUCGGGUUGUAAAGUACUUUCAGCGGGAGGAAGGGAGUAAAGUUAAUACCUUUGCUCAUUGACGUUAUCCGCAGAAGAAGCACCGGCUAACUCCGUGCCAGCAGCCGCGGUAAUACGGAGGGUGCAAGCGUUAAUCGGAAUUACUGGGCGUAAAGCGCACGCAGGCGGUUUGUUAAGUCAGAUGUGAAAUCCCCGGGCUCAACCUGGGAACUGCAUCUGAUACUGGCAAGCUUGAGUCUCGUAGAGGGGGUAGAAUUCCAGGUGUAGCGGUGAAAUGCGUAGAGAUCUGGAGGAAUACCGGUGGCGAAGGCGGCCCCCUGGACGAAAACUGACGCUCAGGUGCGAAAGCGUGGGGAGCAAACAGGAUUAGAUACCCUGGUAGUCCACGCCGUAAACGAUGUCGACUUGGAGGUUGUGCCCUUGAGGCGUGGCUUCCGGAGCUAACGCGUUAAGUCGACCGCCUGGGGAGUACGGCCGCAAGGUUAAAACUCAAAUGAAUUGACGGGGGCCCGCACAAGCGGUGGAGCAUGUGGUUUAAUUCGAUGCAACGCGAAGAACCUUACCUGGUCUUGACAUCCACGGAAGUUUUCAGAGAUGAGAAUGUGCCUUCGGGAACCGUGAGACAGGUGCUGCAUGGCUGUCGUCAGCUCGUGUUGUGAAAUGUUGGGUUAAGUCCCGCAACGAGCGCAACCCUUAUCCUUUGUUGCCAGCGGUCCGGCCGGGAACUCAAAGGAGACUGCCAGUGAUAAACUGGAGGAAGGUGGGGAUGACGUCAAGUCAUCAUGGCCCUUACGACCAGGGCUACACACGUGCUACAAUGGCGCAUACAAAGAGAAGCGACCUCGCGAGAGCAAGCGGACCUCAUAAAGUGCGUCGUAGUCCGGAUUGGAGUCUGCAACUCGACUCCAUGAAGUCGGAAUCGCUAGUAAUCGUGGAUCAGAAUGCCACGGUGAAUACGUUCCCGGGCCUUGUACACACCGCCCGUCACACCAUGGGAGUGGGUUGCAAAAGAAGUAGGUAGCUUAACCUUUGGGAGGGCGCUUACCACUUUGUGAUUCAUGACUGGGGUGAAGUCGUAACAAGGUAACCGUAGGGGAACCUGCGGUUG
rnacentral:rRNA from 1 species